ensembl:lncRNA
UGAACAUUAUUCUCUCCUUGGUGGUCAUAAGAUGGUGCAGAUGGGGGAGUGGGGAGGUAAUCAUUUGCUAUUUACCUGUCUGUGUAGCAAGUCAUGGAACGUCCUGGGUAGGCUUAGGUGUGCUGGCUGGUGUAACCAGCUCAAAGAUUGGUAGUAGGUUCAAAGAGCCCCCUAUUUUUACCUUUAUAGACACUGUGCUGACUUGUAUCUGUCAUGUCGUGUUUGUCUAUGUGCUUCAUAAUUAGGGAAAUGUGAGGCUUGGGUUUUUUUAACACAUUUCAGCCAUUUUACAUGAUAGCAAAUUAGAAUUACAUGUCUGUCUGUAACUGCCAGGGCUCCUCCAAUACCAUGAAAAAACCACCACAGACAACAACAGAAGUCCCCAACUCAGUUAUAACUCUGACUGUCUUCCAGUCCUCUGCUGUAGUAGGUAUUUGAUGAUAGCAACUUUGUUACUUAAUUCUCAGUUUCCUCCAGAAAUCUUCAAGAAAUAUCAGAUAAACCUGGUAACUCAAUGCCUUUGAUUUAUUGAUUUGUUCCACCAACUUCUCUCUUGAGCCUUCAUUCUCCUUACCUUUGAUAUUUGGAAAGUGUGAGUUUCUCAUUUAGUUUUCACUCCAGCACCCUCUCUGGUGAAGACUGAUGCAAAUAAAUCAUUUAGAUUCUUGGCAAUGUCCUUAUUGUCUUUAAUUGUUUCUUCUACUUGCUGUUUGGGGUGGCCUACCGGUUAUGUCCAGUUUUCUCCUUUUGGUGUACUGAGCAAAUGUGUGUUUUCAGUUUUAACUUCCUACUGUUUGCUCUUCAGAUUCCCUCUUAGUUUGCUCAAACUCCAUCUUAACUAUUACACACUUUCCUUUCAGGUUUACGAAAUUCUGAUUUCCAUUCUCUAAAGGUUUCCUAUUUGGCCUGAAUAACUUCUAAAAUUUCCGAUCUAGUCAUACCAAUAUUUCCUUGUCCUCAUCUUCCAUUUUAUCUAAGGAGAUACCAUACACCAUGGCUAUUUAUAAGCCCUUUCCAUUUUUAGUCUGAGGAUUUCAGAUUUUCUUUUCUUUUUAUUUAGGGCUGCUGAUUCUUUAAAAGGAAAAAAGGGGGUUGUUUUUAAAUUUUUAUAUCAAAUAUCACCCUACUGUUGUAGGUUUGUAUUUUCCUCUUUACCUUUCCUAAAUGCUACCCUUUUUCUGGUCAAGGGAUCAGAAAUAAAAUCUUACAAAAUUCUUUUGUUCGUCUAAGAUGUGCUCUUAUCUUGACACAUUUUGUUCUGUGGCUCCCUUUUCCCCUCCACUCCACAACAUUGACAUGUAUGAGUCACUGCAAACUUUUCAGUCCCAAAGCCUGAAAUGUGUAUUUCCAGCACCUUCUGACAUCCCACCACAUUUCAGACAUAAUUAUUAUUCCAAAUAAUAAUCUGCUGGCUGCCACCCAAUCCUUCUAUUUUUGUUUUCAUGCUUCUCCCUUUGAUAUAACAGGCUUUGCAAGUUUAAGUUUUCGGCAAAGCACUUGCCUUUAUUUAAUGCCUUAUUGUAACCUAGUAAGUUUCCAUGAUUUCUCUCUGUUGUCACAGUAUAUACCUUCAAAUGUUUGGCUGUAGCUUUCAUCUUGUCAUUUUCUGGCUAAGGGUCAUCUACCAUUUGCCUACCUGGCAGACUUAGAAAAUGUCUUUCUUUAUUCUGACUAGUCCUUAGUAUCUAUCACAUUUUUUUCCAAGUCCUACUUUUAGUAAUUCCAUCCAGCCUUUCUUGUUUCCUAUGUCAGCAAUAUGGUUCCACUUUAUAAUUUGUUUUGGGGUUUUUUUCUAUUUUUAAUCAUCAUCUUGAACUCUAUGACAUAAAGGAAUUAGGAGCUGUACCUGCAGUUCCAUUGCUUUUGUUAGAAUUAGUAUCACAAAUGCUGACAUUAUUCCUAAAGUACUGUGUUUUUACCUGGUAGGCUUCAUGUGGUUUGUAUGUAAAUCAUAAACUGCAUUUUCCUUUUACUGCAACAAGCAGAGGUACUUUGUAGUGUUACUUGCAGUAGCUGUUGCUGUAGAGUAAGCCCUGUGUUAGAGGGAAAAGCACAAAAACUUGUCAGAGCUGUAGCUACUGCUUCUCUCCACAGGGGAAAUAAGGCCCUAGCACAGUUGAACAGUUUUAUAAAUGCCCUGCACAAAACACAUUGCACAUUAUUUUCUGGUAGGUAUAAUCAUACAUUGUCCAAUUAAAUAUGAAAAAUACAUUUUUAAUGUUCUCAUUUUUACAUGCAAUUCUAUCCAGAAGAUAAUGCAUUUCCUUCUGUAUCUUGCCAGUUUCUCCCAUUACUGCAGCCUGCCUAAUAGCCCCAUCUGUUUUCAGCUGAGAAAGAUUAAUGACCAGCAGCACUGGGAGUCCUGGCAAAUCAGCAGAGAUAUUACUCUUAGGCAUUGAGCAGGACAUUCUUUGCUAUUCUGCCAGAUACUGUAUGGGUGUUCCUCAGGUUUCAGCACAGCAACAGCAGAACACAGCAAGCUCAGCAAGUGGAGUGUGCAUCAUUAUUUAUGAACUUCAGCAAGCCCUAAUACAUUAGAUGGUGGGAGUGCUAAAAAGAGAAUGUAUCAUUGUGAGCUCAAAAAGUAUUUCAACUUUAGGAAAAGAAAGCAGCUAAGUUUCUGCAACUCAGUAAGUAAGACCAGAACAAAUAAGUCACUAGUAGAUGGUGACAGCCUAGUAUUUCCACGGUGGUAUUGAAAAUGCAGAAGCUAAAUGAAGUCACUUUUACAGUAGGAAUUCAUAAUGUGUGUUUAGAUGGUGUGUUUACCUCCAAACACUUAGGUGAACUGGGGAUUGUUUGAAGAUGUUACUUUGGUUCACAAUAUAAAGUUGUUUGGAAAAGCUUCUGGCUGUGCACAGCAAAUUACAGCUCAGAAAAUGCUUACAAACCUGAAUUUAGAAAUACCCUGCUUUUCUAGGAAUUUGUUUUCAUGAGUAGUUAAACAUCCCCAAAAUAAGACACAAAGGCUGUGAGAAUUUCAAAGGGUGCUAUGUAUGUGUCAGUUGUCUGGAACAUUUUCCUACUACGACUACUUGGUAUCUGGGCAUUGUUUGCUCUGCAGAGUAGAAUUGUUAUGAUCGGUUUUAAAAAUAAGCUGGGAAUUAGAAAGCCAGCCAAAUAUUUAUUUCUGUGAUGGAUCAUAUGAAUGUAUUUGUCCAGACAUGUUAAUGGGUACAGCAAUGGAGUUAUCUCAUUGAAGGUGUCAGGAUGCAAAAGAUCUGAAACCCAGGCUAAGAGCUUAGUAUCUUUUCAGUCAUUCUGUGCUAGAAUUUCCCCUUAUAGUGUGAGAACAGCUUUUUGUCUCCCAGCUAAUUGCUAUUUCUGUAGGGUUAAAAUGUCCUAAACCUCUGCAACAUGGGUUCAUAGGAAGUCACUGUGCAGGUGACAGAGGCUGCAUUUGAGCUCCAUGGUCCAUUGCCAUGACAUAAAAGAUUUCAGUCCUAAAGAAAUAGUUCUGACCUGGGAGUAAUUCUCUGAUCAGGUGUGUAGAGAGGUUCCCAAACACGUGAGGCCAAAUAAUUCAAGCCAAGCUAAGCCUAUUCCUCAGUAUUAUGGCAACACAGUUCUUGGACAAUAGAUGUGUGACUUUUCAAUGUUAACUGUUAUACCACAAGACUCCGCUAAGGGUGCAUAAGCAGCCGUGUGAAAGUUAGAGGAGCUGAAAUUCAAGUUGCAGGUGGAGCUGAUGAUUUGCUCAUAGAACUUCUUUCUGCCCCCUGGCACAUAUGUAAUAGGACAUAGUUUCUACGCAAUCAUUUGCUGGGUGUUUUUUAAGGACUCCUCUCAUUCUAUGCACAGAGUGGAUGGGAUGAUUCUCAGGGAAGGAAGCAGCUGGGUGAUACAGUUUACUUUUGCUCUCAUUGAACUUUUCAUAAUAUGAUGGUAGGCUUGAUUCUGAGCAAAGCCAGACUUUUUUUUCCUUUUUUUUUUUUUUCUAAAGGAUAGAUUUAAACUGUGGUUUAGGAAAGUCAAAUAUCCACCAUACUCUCAGGCUUUCUGAGCAGAAUGCCUGCAGUUCUGUUCUACAGGCUUUUCUUGUGUGGAGGGAUCCUAUGCAGCUGAUGGAAAUGGCCUUGUAGCACUCACCCGCAACCCAUCAAUGCUAACAGCUGAACAUGCAAGAGUGAUGAAUCCCAGCUAUGUCCAAGCAC